GACGAACGCUGGCGGCGUGCUUAACACAUGCAAGUCGAACGAAGAGCGAUGGAAGCUUGCUUCUAUCAAUCUUAGUGGCGAACGGGUGAGUAACGCGUAAUCAACCUGCCCUUCAGAGGGGGACAACAGUUGGAAACGACUGCUAAUACCGCAUACGAUCUGACCUCGGCAUCGAGGAUAGAUGAAAGGUGGCCUCUAUUUAUAAGCUAUCACUGAAGGAGGGGAUUGCGUCUGAUUAGCUAGUUGGAGGGGUAACGGCCCACCAAGGCGAUGAUCAGUAGCCGGGCUGAGAGGAUGAACGGCCACAUUGGGACUGAGACACGGCCCAGACUCCUACGGGAGGCAGCAGUGGGGAAUCUUCCGCAAUGGACGAAAGUCUGACGGAGCAACGCCGCGGGAGUGAUGACGGCCUUCGGGUUGUAAAGCUCUGUUAAUCGGGACGAAAGGCCUUCUUGCGAAUAGUUAGAAGGAUUGACGGUACCGGAAGAGAAAGCCACGGCUAACUACGUG
rnacentral:rRNA from 1 species